AUUGAACGCUGGCGGCAGGCCUAACACAUGCAAGUCGAACGAGUGGCGGACGGGUGAGUAAUGUCUGGGAAACUGCCUGAUGGAGGGGGAUCACUACUGGAAACGGUAGCUUAUACCGCAUACCAUCGGAUGUGCCCAGAUGGUAUUAUCUCGUGGGUGGGGUAAAGGCUCACCUAGGCGACGCACCCUAGCUGGUCUGAGAGGAUGACCAGCCACACUGGAACUGAGACACGGUCCAGACUCCUACGGGAGGCCGCAGUGGGGAAUAUUGCACAAUGGGCGCAAGCCUGAUGCAGCCAUGCCGCGUGUAUGAAGAAGGCCCUCGGGUUGUAAAGUACGUUCAGCGGGGAGGCGUUACCCGCAGAAGAAGCACCGGCUAACUCCGUGCCAGCAGCCGCGGUAAUAC
rnacentral:rRNA from 1 species